rnacentral:rRNA from 1 species
UACGUAGGUGGCAAGCGUUGUCCGGAAUUAUUGGGCGUAAAGCGCGCGCAGGCGGUUUCUUAAGUCGGAUGUGAAAGCCCUCGGCUUAACUGAGGAAGUGCACCCGAAACUGAGUAGCUAGAGUACGAAAGAAGGUCGCGGAAUUCCCGGUAUAGAGGUGAAAUUCGUAGAUAUCGAGAAGAACACCAAUAACGAAGGCGGCGACCUGGAUCGAAACUGACGCUGAGGCGCGAAAGCGUGAAAAGCAAACAGG